UUGCAGGAAAUCCCUUGAAUAAAUGAGGCCAGUUUAAUCUGGUCUUCAGCAACAUUUCUCUCUUCCUUUAGGAGUCGGCUGUGAACAUCUCACUGCAGUCAAGGAUGAAGAGUCCAGUUUAGAAGGCAGCUCUGGUCCUCCAUCCUACAGAUACUCCAACACUACAGCUGCUGCUGAUCAUUUCUUCUGCUAUCAACAAUCUCCAGGAGAACCAGUUCCUCCUGCACAUCUGACCCACUGACAGUGUAACUCCACUAGAGGGCGACAUGAUCCAGUAGGCGGUGCUCUACCUGUGCUCUGUGCUCCAGCAUUGUGUCAAUAAUAAGUGGUGCUGUGAAGAGAACAAUUGUCAGACUGAAUGUUGAACAUCAGCUAGUUUCUCCUGCUGAUUUAAACCUUGUUGGACAGAUGGAACAUUGGCUGUGGAUUAUUCUUGCUGCUCUUUUCUUUGAGUGUAAAGGAGACACAGUGAAGCAGCCAGAAGGAGAUGUUGUUGCUGCUGAAGGAGAAUCACUGACUCUGGGAUGUACUUUUGAGAUCACCAAUGGGACUAGAACUUUGUUCUGGUACAAACAAGAAGGAAACAGUUCUCCAAAGUACAUGUUGAAACAGCUGUCAUCAUCCAAAUAUAAAUCUCCAGAUUUCAACAUUAGCAGAUUUGACGCCGACCUCAACAGUAACAAGAAAUCAUUUCAUCUGAAGAUCCAGGAUCUCCAUCUGUCUGACUCUGCUGUGUACUACUGUGCUCUGCAGCCCACAGUGACAGGAAACACCAGAACUCUGAACAAGAACCUGCAGAGUAAAGACAAGACAAUGCUCCACAACAGCCACUAGAGGGCCUCAUACAGUCUUCCACCUCUAUAGGUUUCUUAUAUUACACCAAACCAAACAUCAUCGUGUUCUUGUUCUGAGGUUCUUUCUCUUCUUGGUUGCUGAGAUAAACUGUAGAAGGUUCCAUGUUGAACAGAGGAAGGUGAUUGGCCAGUGGAGGGUGAUGUUCUUCUCUAAGAGUCCUUUAUGAUUAGGACUCUCCUGUCCUGGAUCCAUUCAGGGUCCCAUUAGUGACCAAAUAUCUGCUUAGAGCUACUAAGCGUUCAGUAAUGAAUCAGUUCUCAACACCACAUGGUGUUUCAGUUGGUGCAGCCAACAUGGCCAGAUUUUUCCUUCCUCUUGAUGAAGAUACACUUCACCCUCCUCAGCCACCACCCUGUCAGGAUUAAGAAGAAUCCCUGCUGCUGUGAUGAACAUCAGCUUCUGUAGUUUAUUACAUGCAUUUAAUGUUUCUAGCAGACAUGUAGAAGAUACUAUAUGACAGCCUCUGUGACGUAGUACUGGCAAUGAGUACAUUUAUAUGUUGGUCUGAUCUUGUUUUUCUGUGUGAUGUCCCAGUUACCAUGGCAACAGAUCAAAGUCUGCUACUAAGCAUUUUCUUCAGAUUCUGAUCUUUAUUCAUGUCCCAA